rnacentral:rRNA from 1 species
AUGCAAGUCGACGGUAGCACAGAGAGCUUGCUCUCGGGUGACGAGUGGCGGACGGGUGAGUAAUGUCUGGGAAACUGCCCGAUGGAGGGGGAUAACUACUGGAAACGGUAGCUAAUACCGCAUAAUGUCGCAAGACCAAAGAGGGGGACCUUCGGGCCUCUUGCCAUCGGAUGUGCCCAGAUGGGAUUAGCUGGUAGGUGGGGUAACGGCUCACCUAGGCGACGAUCCCUAGCUGGUCUGAGAGGAUGACCAGCCACACUGGAACUGAGACACGGUCCAGACUCCUACGGGAGGCAGCAGUGGGGAAUAUUGCACAAUGGGCGCAAGCCUGAUGCAGCCAUGCCGCGUGUAUGAAGAAGGCCUUCGGGUUGUAAAGUACUUUCAGCGAGGAGGAAGGUGUUGUGGUUAAUAACCGCAGCAAUUGACGUUACUCGCAGAAGAAGCACCGGCUAACUCCGUGCCAGCAGCCGCGGUAAUACGGAGGGUGCAAGCGUUAAUCGGAAUUACUGGGCGUAAAGCGCACGCAGGCGGUCUGUCAAGUCGGAUGUGAAAUCCCCGGGCUCAACCUGGGAACUGCAUCCGAAACUGGCAG